UUAAGCGACUAAGCGUACACGGUGGAUGCCCUGGCAGUCAGAGGCGAUGAAGGACGUGCUAAUCUGCGAUAAGCGUCGGUAAGGUGAUAUGAACCGUUAUAACCGGCGAUUUCCGAAUGGGGAAACCCAGUGUGUUUCGACACACUAUCAUUAACUGAAUCCAUAGGUUAAUGAGGCGAACCGGGGGAACUGAAACAUCUAAGUACCCCGAGGAAAAGAAAUCAACCGAGAUUCCCCCAGUAGCGGCGAGCGAACGGGGAGCAGCCCAGAGCCUGAAUCAGUGUGUGUGUUAGUGGAAGCGUCUGGAAAGGCGCGCGAUACAGGGUGACAGCCCCGUACACAAAAAUGCACAUGCUGUGAGCUCGAUGAGUAGGGCGGGACACGUGGUAUCCUGUCUGAAUAUGGGGGACCAUCCUCCAAGGCUAAAUACUCCUGACUGACCGAUAGUGAACCAGUACCGUGAGGGAAAGGCGAAAAGAACCCCGGCGAGGGGAGUGAAAAAGAACCUGAAACCGUGUACGUACAAGCAGUGGGAGCCUCUUUAUGGGGUGACUGCGUACCUUUUGUAUAAUGGGUCAGCGACUUAUAUUCUGUAGCAAGGUUAACCGAAUAGGGGAGCCGAAGGGAAACCGAGUCUUAACUGGGCGUUAAGUUGCAGGGUAUAGACCCGAAACCCGGUGAUCUAGCCAUGGGCAGGUUGAAGGUUGGGUAACACUAACUGGAGGACCGAACCGACUAAUGUUGAAAAAUUAGCGGAUGACUUGUGGCUGGGGGUGAAAGGCCAAUCAAACCGGGAGAUAGCUGGUUCUCCCCGAAAGCUAUUUAGGUAGCGCCUCGUGAACUCAUCUCCGGGGGUAGAGCACUGUUUCGGCAAGGGGGUCAUCCCGACUUACCAACCCGAUGCAAACUGCGAAUACCGGAGAAUGUUAUCACGGGAGACACACGGCGGGUGCUAACGUCCGUCGUGAAGAGGGAAACAACCCAGACCGCCAGCUAAGGUCCCAAAGUCAUGGUUAAGUGGGAAACGAUGUGGGAAGGCCCAGACAGCCAGGAUGUUGGCUUAGAAGCAGCCAUCAUUUAAAGAAAGCGUAAUAGCUCACUGGUCGAGUCGGCCUGCGCGGAAGAUGUAACGGGGCUAAACCAUGCACCGAAGCUGCGGCAGCGACGCUUAUGCGUUGUUGGGUAGGGGAGCGUUCUGUAAGCCUGCGAAGGUGUACUGUGAGGUAUGCUGGAGGUAUCAGAAGUGCGAAUGCUGACAUAAGUAACGAUAAAGCGGGUGAAAAGCCCGCUCGCCGGAAGACCAAGGGUUCCUGUCCAACGUUAAUCGGGGCAGGGUGAGUCGACCCCUAAGGCGAGGCCGAAAGGCGUAGUCGAUGGGAAACAGGUUAAUAUUCCUGUACUUGGUGUUACUGCGAAGGGGGGACGGAGAAGGCUAUGUUGGCCGGGCGACGGUUGUCCCGGUUUAAGCGUGUAGGCUGGUUUUCCAGGCAAAUCCGGAAAAUCAAGGCUGAGGCGUGAUGACGAGGCACUACGGUGCUGAAGCAACAAAUGCCCUGCUUCCAGGAAAAGCCUCUAAGCAUCAGGUAACAUCAAAUCGUACCCCAAACCGACACAGGUGGUCAGGUAGAGAAUACCAAGGCGCUUGAGAGAACUCGGGUGAAGGAACUAGGCAAAAUGGUGCCGUAACUUCGGGAGAAGGCACGCUGAUACGUAGGUGAAGUCCCUUGCGGAUGGAGCUGAAAUCAGUCGAAGAUACCAGCUGGCUGCAACUGUUUAUUAAAAACACAGCACUGUGCAAACACGAAAGUGGACGUAUACGGUGUGACGCCUGCCCGGUGCCGGAAGGUUAAUUGAUGGGGUUAGCGGUAACGCGAAGCUCUUGAUCGAAGCCCCGGUAAACGGCGGCCGUAACUAUAACGGUCCUAAGGUAGCGAAAUUCCUUGUCGGGUAAGUUCCGACCUGCACGAAUGGCGUAAUGAUGGCCAGGCUGUCUCCACCCGAGACUCAGUGAAAUUGAACUCGCUGUGAAGAUGCAGUGUACCCGCGGCAAGACGGAAAGACCCCGUGAACCUUUACUAUAGCUUGACACUGAACAUUGAGCCUUGAUGUGUAGGAUAGGUGGGAGGCUUUGAAGUGUGGACGCCAGUCUGCAUGGAGCCGACCUUGAAAUACCACCCUUUAAUGUUUGAUGUUCUAACGUUGGCCCCUAAUCGGGGUUGCGGACAGUGUCUGGUGGGUAGUUUGACUGGGGCGGUCUCCUCCUAAAGAGUAACGGAGGAGCACGAAGGUUGGCUAAUCCUGGUCGGACAUCAGGAGGUUAGUGCAAUGGCAUAAGCCAGCUUGACUGCGAGCGUGACGGCGCGAGCAGGUGCGAAAGCAGGUCAUAGUGAUCCGGUGGUUCUGAAUGGAAGGGCCAUCGCUCAACGGAUAAAAGGUACUCCGGGGAUAACAGGCUGAUACCGCCCAAGAGUUCAUAUCGACGGCGGUGUUUGGCACCUCGAUGUCGGCUCAUCACAUCCUGGGGCUGAAGUAGGUCCCAAGGGUAUGGCUGUUCGCCAUUUAAAGUGGUACGCGAGCUGGGUUUAGAACGUCGUGAGACAGUUCGGUCCCUAUCUGCCGUGGGCGCUGGAGAACUGAGGGGGGCUGCUCCUAGUACGAGAGGACCGGAGUGGACGCAUCACUGGUGUUCGGGUUGUCAUGCCAAUGGCACUGCCCGGUAGCUAAAUGCGGAAGAGAUAAGUGCUGAAAGCAUCUAAGCACGAAACUUGCCCCGAGAUGAGUUCUCCCUGACUCCUUGAGAGUCCUGAAGGAACGUUGAAGACGACGACGUUGAUAGGCCGGGUGUGUAAGCGCAGCGAUGCGUUGAGCUAACCGGUACUAAUGAACCGUGAGGCUUAACCUU
rnacentral:rRNA from 1 species